rnacentral:rRNA from 1 species
AUUGAACGCUGGCGGCAGGCCUAACACAUGCAAGUCGAGCGGAUGAAGGGAGCUUGCUCCUGGAUUCAGCGGCGGACGGGUGAGUAAUGCCUAGGAAUCUGCCUGGUAGUGGGGGAUAACGUCCGGAAACGGGCGCUAAUACCGCAUACGACCUGCGGGAGAAAGUGGGGGAUCUUCGGACCUCACGCUAUCAGAUGAGCCUAGGUCGGAUUAGCUAGUUGGUGGGGUAAAGGCCUACCAAGGCGACGAUCCGUAACUGGUCUGAGAGGAUGAUCAGUCACACUGGAACUGAGACACGGUCCAGACUCCUACGGGAGGCAGCAGUGGGGAAUAUUGGACAAUGGGCGAAAGCCUGAUCCAGCCAUGCCGCGUGUGUGAAGAAGGUCUUCGGAUUGUAAAGCACUUUAAGUUGGGAGGAAGGGCAGUAAGUUAAUACCUUGCUGUUUUGACGUUACCAACAGAAUAAGCACCGGCUAACUUCGUG